CAUUAAGAUGUUAACUUUUAAGAUGUUAAUUAAACAUUAAUGUUUUCUGCAUUGUUUCUUAUUACUAACUUGCCAUUUGUAAACAUUAAAUAGAGCUUAAUUUUAAUGCGCAAAUGUAUAAUGACAUUUCAAACUAGUUGACUGCUUUAACAAAUGAUCAAAGCAUUAUAUGAUGUAGUCAAAUAUUCUGAAAUGUCCAACACAUUUGCAUGUAUAUGAAAGUUUUAGUAAAUUGCUACAUGAAUUCAGGGUUUAACUUCUACUGAUGUCGUCAUGUGACAUUUUAAUGAAAUCUUUGAGACCCGUCUAAUCAAAGACAACAUAAACGACAAAGAUUUCCCUUAAUGUUUACAUGAUGUUUUUGCACUGGUACUUUAAGACUUUUUAUUCAAGAGAAGAGUAGAAUAUGCUCUUUUUUUUUCAAAUCGUUGUCUCAUCAGGUGUUACAGGAAAACUUUGAGCUUUGUAUUUUUUCAAUAAAAACCUCUUAAUGCCUCGUGAGA